rnacentral:piRNA from 1 species
ACCUAGUGAGUUCCUUGGACUCCCGCAGGC